UGGAAAAACUGAGCACUACUUAAAUAACCCAUACCAGGAGGAUGCCUGACAUUUAAGUAUUUGUGUUGCAAACACAAUAAAGAACUGAAGCGUUAUGUUUUCACAGUUACAGAUGUGACCAAACAGAUGUGGAUUUGUUAUCAAUAAUCCACUAAAGCUGGGAAGACACUGUACGUUCAGUCGGCACGACUAAUUUCACAAUCGAGCUGAAUUUCUUCACCGAAUGUGGUUUGACGUGAAGGUUGAGGAGGGUCACGGUGUCCGGUCAAUCACCUGGUCGAGCAGUGAUCUGCCUCACAGAUGGGUUUCUAGCAUGUUAGAAAUUCUGGUCGGCUGUCUUCAGUGUGAGCAGUUCUACAGUCGGAUUUUUCCUCACAGCUGCUGUGAAAACAUCUGUAAUAAACUGGCCGACAUCAGCCACGAGUGAAGUGGAAGGGACCGUCGCUGCUUGGCUUAGCCUGCGCUGGGGUGUAACUGUGGGUUGGAAACAUAUCUGAAGCUGCUACUGGUGACUAGGGCUGUUAUUAUCAUCAUGUCAUGACCAGUUUCACUUGAUUAAUUGUCAUACAAGUAAUUGCAAUUAAUGUAUCUUUUUCUGUUCAUUUUAUGCCACUAUUAUUGUAUUAAUAUGCAGCUAAGUGCUAACGCUAAUGUAACUAGUGUUUAAAAAGGAUGUUUGUCUUACAGUUGUGUUUAAUGUGUUGGUGUCAUGUUUAUCUGAAAUUACUUCAUCACAAUCAGUUUGACAAAUCUGCAUCACAAAGCCUCAUCCUGUCAUAUCAUUUAACACAUUUUGAAACAUUAUUUUAUCUGUUAUUCUGUGCUGUAGAUAAAUAUUUUCCUUCCUCAAUAAAAGGUGAGGUGGU